rnacentral:tRNA from 1 species
GCCCCGGUAGCUCAGUUGGAUAGAGCAGCGGACUUCUAAUCCGCAGGUCAAAGGUUCGAAUCCUUUCCGGGGUG